AGUGGACGCUGGCGGUAGGCCUAACACAUGCAAGUCGAACGGCAGCACAGUAAGAGCUUGCUCUUACGGGUGGCGAGUGGCGGACGGUUGAGGAAUACAUCGGAAUCUACUUUUUCUUGGGGGAUAACGUAGGGAAACUUACGCUAAUACCGCAUACGACCUACGGGUGAAAGCAUGGGAUCUUCGGACCUCACGCGAUUGAAUGAGCCGAUGUCGGAUUAGCUAGUUGGCGGGGUAAAGGCCCACCAAGGCGACGAUCCGUAGCUGGUCUGAGAGGAUGAUCAGCCACACUGGAACUGAGACACGGUCCAGACUCCUACGGGAGGCAGCAGUGGGGAAUAUUGGACAAUGGGCGCAAGCCUGAUCCAGCCAUACCGCGUGGGUGAAGAAGGCCUUCGGGUUGUAAAGCCCUUUUGUUGGGAAAGAAAAGCAGCAGGUUAAUACCCUGCUGUUCUGACGGUACCAAAAGAAUAAGCACCGGCUAACUUCGUG
rnacentral:rRNA from 1 species